AUAUCGAAAUGAAUGCUACAGAUCAAUUUGUAGCGCCUACAUACGUUGAACACAGCAGAAGCAGCAGCAGCAGCAGUGAAUGCUCAAUCUCAAGUUCAGACACAGAGACAAUGCCUUCACAAUUUGAGCGCACAGACAUCAGCAGCAGCAGCAACAACAGCAGCAGCGACUGUUCGUGUUCAGACACGGAGCAACACACACCAGAUAAUCUACACACCACCACAGAUGAUGGGCAUAUUCAUGGGGUAGAUGAUAAUGUACACACCACCACAGAUGAUGGGCAUAUUCGUGGGGUAGAUGUAGAGGAAAUACCACCAAUUAUUCACGAACAGAUUUUGGAAGCAUUGCAGGUACGUGCGGUGGAGAAUGGAAAUAAAGAAAAUUACACCCAUGAAAAUGCGACUGCGGUCAAGGCAUUCAAAGAAAUAAAUAAAAAAGAAACGAAGCACCCAAGCACGAAAUUUGUACAUAUGUUAUAUACUAUUCAAAAAAAGUAGGGGAUAUUUGAUUUUUAAGUGUUAUUAAAGUCACCUAAUGAAACUGACGAAGAAACAAAUGACAGAAUGAAAUGAAGUUCACAUUCAUCGAUUUAUUCCAAAUGAUCGUUAGACUAAGUAAGGCACAGACUGACCAUUAUAAGGGUAAAAUGAUACCCGGGGUCAAACAGCAAAGUUACCACAGCAUCACAACCAAGUCAGUAACGGGUAAAUCCUCCUCUGUUUGCCAAACAAGCAUUGAUCCGACGUGUCAUACUCCUAAUGAGACGUCUAAGGUCAUUUUGGUCCAGAUUGUCCCAUUCCUGUUGCAACGCAGCAGCAAGUUCUUGGACAUUGGCAGGACGUUGUUGACGUUGACGUAACCUCUGUCCAAGCAUGUCCCAGACAUGCUCGAUGGGGGAGAGGUCGGGACUCAGUGCUGGCCAAGGUAAUGUGGUGAUGUUCUGUUGUUGGAGGUAACCUGUAACGAUCCUGGCCCUGUGACAUCUUGCGUUGUCAUCCUGGAAGAUGAAACGGCGGCCAUGACGUCGUGCGAACGGCACAACAUGGACUGCCAAGAUGUUGUCCCGGUAGUACUGGCCUGUAACACGCCCUGCAACAACAUGUAAAGCCGUUCUUCCAGCAACAGUGAUGCCUCACCACACCAUAACAGAACCACCCCCAAAUCGAUCAUGUCUGAUGACGUUAACGUCUUGGAAGCGCUCGUUUCGACGACGCCACACCAUCCUACGUCUGUCCAAAAAAACAACAGUGAACCUUGACUCAUCUGAAAACAUCACAUUGCUCCAGCGUCGAUUAUCCCAGUGUUGACGAUCCCUACACCAACGACGUCUUGCCUGAAUGUGAUGAUCUCUCAAACAAGGGAUCACGCGAGGACGUCGGGCGCGAAGGUGACCCCUAUGCAGUCGAUUCCGAAUCGUCUGGCCACUCACUCUCACACCAGUGUCUGUUUGAAGACGAGCGCUGAUCUGAUUUGCUGUGAUGACACGAUUUCUCAAGGCCAAGGUACGGAUAAAUCGAUCCUGGGCUUGAGUUGUCGCCCUUGGUCGACCUGAGCGUGGUCUGUCCUGUACAGAUUGUGUAUCACGGUAUCUGGACCAUAGCCUGCUUAUGACAGACUGAGAAACAUUCAUCGUCCGCGCCACAACCGCCUGUGUUGUGCCGAUCUGUAGCAUGCCAAGGGCACGUAACCUUUCAUUUUGGGUAAGCCGACGCAUAUCAAAAUUUGUUUUCUGGUCACUAAAACAAUUAAACUGAUGUUUCCACCCUGGAAUUCAAUGCCACAAUGACUGUAACAUUCAAAGUCAGAGUCGUGCAAAUCUUGGGUUGGACCCCCAUGAUGAUCCCAAGCAUCACCUGCAUUCCAUGCGGUAGCUAUUGGUGCGUUUGGGCGUCACAUGUAACUGGAAAUGUUUCUUCUGUUAGGUUCUAUAGUGACUUUUUUCGUAGUCAUUUGCAUAUUUUAGUAUUAUGCCCCCAAAAUCAAAUAUCCCCUACUUUUUUUGAAUAGUAUAUAGUUCAAAGACAUUUAAAGAAAAAAAUUAAUAAAGUUGACUUUUAAGCACCAAUUGAUCAGCAAAUGAAGAUAAAACCAAGCACGGAAUUGUCUGUAUACACUGUAUAUGUUUGAAGAAAUAAAAAUAAGAUGGAAAUAAAGCUAAGAAAGAUGAUAGCCAAGGACAUGUAUAUAUGUUAUAUUUUGUAGAUUUAGUAUAUGUAUUCAUCAAUUUAGAUAGCGUGAAGGGUGGGUUGUAUGACAGUUUUACAUCAAUUUUUAAUAAACAAAGACUAACCACAAUCAAAUUGGUUGACAAAAGAUAAAUAAUAUAUUGGGUGAAACAAAUUGACCAUGUCUUAGACACCAUGCACUUUAUAUUCAUCUUUCCAGACAGUUGUGUAAUUAGUUUUGAAAAUACUAUGAAAAUAAAUUCGACCAAAAGAUUGUGUUAGAAACCUUGGUGUAUAUUUUGGCAGAGCUGCAGGUGUCCAACAUCUGCAAAACUGUCAUUAGUACAAUAUUGGAUUUAUUGGACCUUAAUACCACAAAAUUGCGAAUUUACGCUUAUAUUGCAACGUCGUCUGGUGAUUACUGUAACUCGUGAUUAUACUCUCUGCCAAAAUACCUACUUUAUGAUUUACAAACAUCUGGCCAUAUAUGAACCUUCAAGAAACAAGUAUAUACCAUAAUUCGGAAUUAAUUUUAAUUAAAUAUGAUAUGAAACGCGCUAAGUUUGUAUGAUAAUUUUGUUUAGCUUAUGUAAUAACAUUUGUAAAGUCCCAUAGAGCAGCCAAUUGAAUUU